UACGUAGGGGGCAAGCGUUGUCCGGAUUUAUUGGGCGUAAAGGGCGUGUAGGCGGCAGAUUAAGUUGGUUGUAAAAGGCAGUGGCUCAACCAUUGUAAGCAACCAAAACUGGUUUACUUGAGUGCAGAAGAGGAGAGUAGAAUUCCCGGUGUAGCGGUGGAAUGCGUAGAGAUCGGGAGGAAUACCAGUGGCGAAAGCGGUUCUCUGGUCUGUAACUGACGCUGAGGCGCGAAAGCGUGGGGAGCAAACAGG
rnacentral:rRNA from 1 species